CUGCUUCAUCCCAAUUACCAGUUUCCUCAAAGGAACGAAUCAAUCUCGUUGUUUGAAGGCCAUCCAUGACCGGCAUGCACACAUCCUGCAAGAUUAAAUUUGUAAGUGGUUGCUAAUAAACUCCAAGUCUUUCAGAACUCGAAUGCAGACGUAAAACUUGAGCAGAUUUAAACCCUGUAGAAAGCAACUCUUAUAUGCAGUAGGGAAGGAAAGAGAGGAAGGAAUUACCAUCAAGACAAGAUCAUAACUAUGGUACUGAAUUGCACGGACAGCUUCUACACCAUUGCUCACAACAUCUAUUGUGUGGCCUAACUGCUUCAUCAUUGACCGCGUCACCAUUACAUUAAUUUUAUUAUCUUCCACCAGGAGGAUCUUUGGCUUUGAGAUAGAAUUUGAUGCUUCUCGGCUGCUGUUUAAUGUGGACUGAAAACCGCUGUCAGAUCUCCCCUGCCUCUCCGCUGGUAGCUGGGGCUCAGUUAUCUUCUCUUUCACAUCCACCUCUCUGCUUGUCUCUGAGCAACUUGACACAUCUCUGGUAGAAACUUUGUUCUCAGCAUUUACAACAUUGUGAUGAUGCUCGUCUCUGCAAAUUGCACUUUCAUUAUCGUGGUCUGGGCUGUGACUAAAUGAACUUUCAGGCUCAGGUGAUAUCUCUAAAGCUUCAGCAACAGAACAAGCAUCCUCAAAUAAAUCCAUCUCCUUUGUUUGACCAUUACUCGUGGGAAAUGAAUAACAAUUCUCUGAGAACCCAUUAAUUUUAUGCGAAUUUACAUAGCCAAUAUUAUGUGCUAAUAAAUUUUGGGUUCUGCUAGAUCCAUUAGAAGCAAAUAGGGAACCCAAAGUACGUGGCUGGAAUUGGAAAAAGCCAGCCGUUGCAUCAUCAUCCGUAGCACCAUGAUCAUCCAUAUCUGAGAGGUUGUCAUCCGCGUCAUCAGAAUGAUCACAUGAUAGAGAAACCUUAUAAGGUAAGAUAAACGUAAAUGUAGAACCGCAAUGCACUUGGCUGGACACAGUAAGACGGCCGCCCAUUAACUCAACCUGUAGCGAAGGCAAGGAAUGUUAGGACUUAGUUUUGUACUAGCAAGAGUAUCAAUCGAAUCUCUGCAAAAAUCAACAACUUAAAUCUUUCAAGUAAAAUGAAAAUAUGCUUAAAAUAUAUAGAUUUACAAACUUCCCAACUUUUCAAUGAUCUGGAAUUUAGCAUUGUUGAGAGUAAUGAGCUGUAAGUAAACACUGCAGAUAUUUUGGCACGUGAAGAGCAGCAGUGUCUUAAAAAGGAACUAGAAGAUGUUGAAAACUUGGAAAGAAUCUAUUUUUAUUCUAAUAUCAAAUUAUAUGCUUUUCUUCACUGCAAAACUAGGAUAGUUAGUUAAACUAGACCUACUGAGAUUUAUAUCAUAAUUAUCUGAUCUGCUAAACUGUUUCUUUAAGCAGAAGCAAGAAGAGGGAAGGCAAAUUGUAUCAAUUGUGGCGGGGGAAAACAUUAUUGUUGAUGGAAGGAAGAAUUCACCAGCUGUUUACAUAUUGCGAGGCCAAGUCCUGUCCCACCGUACUUACGGGCAUGAUCGGCACUGACUUGCAUGUACUUCUUAAAAAGUGUGGGUAAAGCAUUUUCUGUCACAGCACAGGAGAUAUCAAGUUCUAACAAAACCUCUGAUUUCUUGUGAUAAUGCAAAUGAUUAAAGAAAAGCAUAUUCAUGUACCAGGUAUGCCAAUUCCAGUGUCAUAUACAUCACAGCGAAUCCAAACUGUUGUUUCAGGUAAUUCUGCUUGCUCCUCGGUUACAUCUAUUGUUCCAUUCGUUACUGGCGUACCACGUUCACUUUGUGAACGGUCUUGGCAAGAACCUUCGUGUUUCUUACCAUGAAAUCCUCUCUGGUCACUGCUAGUUUGAGACGUUGAUGUACAUGUCUCUUCUUUUGGUACAUUAGUUGUGGAUUGAUUAGCAGUUGAUCCAGCAGACCCAUUCUGAGAUCCUUCUUUUGCAAAAGGCGGCUCUGGGACUACAUAAAGUUUUACUCCUACCUUUCCUUCAUGUGUAAACUUGAUAGCAUUGCUGAAGAGAAAGAAAGGUUGUUCACAUAACAUGCAAGAAAUGAAAGUAAUGAAUACUAAUCAUUCAGGAAGAUUUUCUCAGCAUAGUUGUCAGAACCAUUCAUUUCCUAAUGACAAAAAAAACUAAGUUCAUAGUUGCUGAAACGCAUGACAUUUAAUUCUCUAAACAAUCAGUUACACGCAAUGUUUUCAUGAUAAUCUAUAGGAA
rnacentral:lncRNA from 1 species